rnacentral:rRNA from 1 species
GACAGAGGGGGCAAGCGUUGCUCGGAAUUACUGGGCGUAAAGGGCGCGUAGGCGGGAUGGCAAGUCGGUCGUGAAAUCCUUCGGCUCAACCGAAGAACGUCGAUCGAUACUCUGUUCUUGAGGGUUGCAGAGGAGACUGGAAUUCCCGGUGUAGCGGUGAAAUGUGUAGAGAUCGGGAGGAACACCGGUGGCGAAGGCGGGUCUCUGGGCAAUUCCUGACGCUGAGGCGCGAAAGCGUGGGGAGCAAACGGG